ACGUAGGGGGCGAGCGUUAUUCGGAAUUACUGGGUGUAAAGGGUAUGUAGGCGGCCUGACAAGUCGCGUGUCAAAGUCCAGCGCUUAACGCUGGGUUCGCACGCGAUACUGUCUGGCUAGAGGGCUGGAGAGGUGAGCGGAAUUCCCGGUGUAGUGGUAAAAUACGUAGAUAUCGGGAGGAACACCAGCGGCGUAGGCGGCUCACUAGACAGUUUCUGACGCUAAGAUACGAAAGCGUGGGGAGCAAACAG
rnacentral:rRNA from 1 species